CGCAGGGCAACGUUUGAAGCCGCGCCCGACGCUCACGCUGCUGCUUCUAUGAUUCCAUUUCUACCCUCUUCGCUUCAUCAGUGCAUCUUUCGAUUUGUGAAGGCAUCAGCUUGUAAUACAAUGGGAGUUCCUGACCAGUGAAGGGAUAUUUAGCAUUGUCUUCUCUGAAUGGAAAAUGAAAAACCACUCCAGCUGUCUGCCGUCAUUGUAGGGAUUGCCAGUGAGCCCAGCCAAGAGGGGAAUGUGGGCUGGCUUGGCUAGAGUGAAUUACUACAUCCCAAGAAGAGUGAUCUCUAAGAAGUCUUAUGCUCUAGGAUGAUCAAAGACUCCACUCACCCUGGGCUGAGACUAUGAACCUUGGCUAUGAAAUGCUCCUGUUGUCUUGGAAUAAAACUCUGGCACAAGGAGUUCUUUCACUUUCAUUGGAAGUGAGGCUGUGAGAAGCUUUUUGUUUUAAUUUAGGGAGCUCUAGCUGCAUGAAGCCUCUUUCCUCUGGUUAUUUGAGUUUCAAACCCUGGAUGAAUUGUUUUUUUCAGAUGGCCUUGGCUUUCCAGAUCUGUUUUUCAGUUCCAUAAGAGACCUUUUACCCUUUGCGCUAAAUUAGAUCAACAGUGAUAAUGAUGGGGAUGGAAAAUACAGCCAGGGUAAGGAUCAUUAUCAGGUAAAACAUGACUUCAGAUUUGGUUCUAUUAGAAAGCUUUUAUACAAUUACCAACCAAUAAAAAUAUGUCCAAUUUAAAGAAAAAUCCACAGGAAAUACUAAAAUUAACGAACACUUCACUGCAGUAUAUGCAGUCUAAACAUUGCAGCUUUGUGCUAGAACAUGUGAGCUUGAAAGAAACUCAUUACAAACAACUGUGAAACUGAGUAGUGUGUUUUCAUUGUCCAUGCUGAGAAAAGCAAAAAGUAAACAAACAGCAUAGAUCAGGGGUAGGCAACCUAUGGCAUGUGAGCCAAAGGCGGCACGUGAGCUGAUUUUCAGUGGCACUCGCACUGGCCGGAUCCUGGUCACCGGUCCGGGGGGGCUCUGCAUUUUAAUUUAAUUUUAAAUGAAGCUUCUUAAACAUUUUAAAAACCUUAUUUACUUUACAUACAACAAUAGUUUAGUUAUAUAUUAUAGACUUAUAGAAAGAGACCUUCUGAAAAUGUUAAAAUGUAUUACCGGCACGCGAAACCUUAAAUCAGAGUGAAUAAAUGAAGACUCAGCACACCACUUCUGAAAGGUUACCAACCCCUGGCAUAGAGAGUGACAUAUAAAAUGAAAAUGUAUUUUUAUAAUCUUAGUUGCUGUUUGUAACAUAGGAAAGGAAAUUUGUGUAACAAACAUGAUUUUAACCAAACACUAACAUUUUAAUUAAACUUAAAUAUACUGGUUAAUAUUGUAUUUGAAUAUUUAGCACUUUUUGACUAACCUCAACCGUAACUAGCCAACCGCAACCAUUCAAAAAUCUUGAGUCAGGCCCCAGAAAAUCGUGUUAAAAGUCCUGAUUUUAAAAAAUAAUAAAUCUAGGAUUCUUAUUUUCA